CGGCACCCGGGACGCAUCGAUCUCUGGACCGCAGCACGGUCGCCAUGGCGGGUCACCCCGCCAGGUCCGGAGGGAGCGAGUGGCGAGACCGACCCGUGACACG
rnacentral:ncRNA from 1 species